AGUGAACGCUGGCGGUAGGCCUAACACAUGCAAGUCGAACGGCAGCACAGUAAGAGCUUGCUCUUACGGGUGGCGAGUGGCGGACGGGUGAGGAAUACAUCGGAAUCUACUUUUUCGUGGGGGAUAACGUAGGGAAACUUACGCUAAUACCGCAUACGACCUACGGGUGAAAGCAGGGGAUCUUCGGACCUUGCGCGAUUGAAUGAGCCGAUGUCGGAUUAGCUAGUUGGCGGGGUAAAGGCCCACCAAGGCGACGAUCCGUAGCUGGUCUGAGAGGAUGAUUCGCCCCACUGGAACUUAGGACCGGUCCCGACCCCCUCGGGAGGCCACAGUGGGGAAAUUUGGACAAUGGGGCGAAGCCCUAUUCAGGCAUACCGCGUGGGUGAAGAAGGCCUUCGGGUUGUAAAGCCCUUUUGUUGGGAAAGAAAAGCAGCAGGUUAAUACCCCGCUGUUCUGACGGUACCCAAAGAAUAAGCACCGGCUAACUUCGUG
rnacentral:rRNA from 1 species